AGAUAGAUAAACUGAAGUAAACGGCAAGCAGGUGUCAAAAACCUAAAAAAUAGUCUUCAACGCUGAGAUUGAAGCAUACAGAGCUCCUUAUUCUUCUUCUGGAGAUCAAAUCAACACAAAUUAGAGAUCAAAACGUGCAAGACCCAUGCGUAAAACGAGAGAGAAAAAGGAACCCUUUAAGGGUUCAUAGUGAAAUGAAAAAGGUAUAAGCAGAUCAAAAAACAGAGACCCAGUAUAGAGAUAAGGAGAAGUCGAUUGGUUCAAAGGAAAAAUGUGUUUCGAGAUCAAAG
rnacentral:lncRNA from 1 species